rfam:Zea mays cultivar B73 chromosome 7, whole genome shotgun sequence.
AUACAUUUCUCGGUCUUUUGACUAAUAUAAAGUGCAAUAUUUUUUCUUUUAGUUUAAUAUCUAGUAUAUAGAAAAUAUGUUCAAUUUGAUAUAAGAUUUAUUUAUUAUGGAUAUUUUGUGGGAGGCUCCACCAUACUGACUUACUAGGCCCUUACGCAUCGCUCAACCAUUGUAAGGUCUGUCCACCC